GACGAACGCUGGCGGCGUGCUUAACACAUGCAAGUCGAACGGAAAGGCUCCAGCUUGCUGGAGUACUCGAGUGGCGAAAGGGUGAGUAACACGUGGGUGAUCUGCCCUGCACUUCGGGAUAAGCCUGGGAAACUGGGUCUAAUACCGGAUAGGACCGCACUUUGGUGUGUGUGGUGGAAAGGUUUUUCUGGUGUGGGAUGAGCUCGCGGCCUAUCAGUUUGUUGGUGGGGUAAUGGCCUACCAAGACGGCGACGGGUAGCCGGCCUGAGAGGGUGGACGGUCACAUUGGGACUGAGAUACGGCCCAGACUCCUACGGGAGGCAGCAGUGGGGAAUAUUGCACAAUGGGGGAAACCCUGAUGCAGCGACGCCGCGUGGGGGAUGAAGGCCUUCGGGUUGUAAACUCCUUUCGCUAGGGACGAAGCUUUUUGUGACGGUACCUGGAGAAGAAGCACCGGCUAACUACGUG
rnacentral:rRNA from 1 species